AUGAAGGGGUUGCUCUUCGCGGUCUCCGUGCUAUUCCUACUUCUGCCUUUUCAGCAGGUGUGUGGUGGGGAUUUUAAAGCUGGCCUUCCAAGCAUGUCUCUGCAGAGGUGGAAUGAAGAUCCCAGGAGAAAGGAGAGAGGCGGAGAAAGGAGAGAGGUUGUGUCAAGCCCCGUGAAGGACAAGGAGGCCUCUGAACGUGAGGCUGAGAUGGAUACUUUGAUUGGGGCUGGUUCUCUGAGGCAGCCCCUGCUUCUUCGGGUGGCUCGGAUGACUCCAUUCUGGAGGUCACUGGGCUACAAACCUUCCCAGGCCCAUUGCUUGCGGGACCUGGAGUGCAUCAGCAAAUACUGCAGGAAUGGCUUCUGCUCAAAGCCUCACUUGGAAUCCUGA
rnacentral:lncRNA from 1 species